AGGUGCAUCUACCCACUUAACGAGUGGGCGUGGCCUCAGCUUUACCAGAUUUUCUAUCCCACGCCAAACCCUGCCAGAGUAACUUUUUUUAUUUUAUUGUAUCAGUUUGCAUUUUAUCUGCUUUUUAAAAAUAUUGUAUAUUAAAAAUGUAGAAGACUGGCUCCUAAGAGUAGCUAGACCAGCUAAACUACAGGUAUUUUGUGCAGUGGCAGGGACUAAUCUCUGGAACUGGAUUUUGACCGUGCCAUUGUUGAUUGUGGCCUGGACACCUGUGGGGUGAAUGAGAGCUGAUCAUGUCGUAACCCAGAGAGGUCUGGAUGGGGGAGAGGGGUUCAAAGCCACAUUGAUUACAAAGGAGAAGGUGUUCGGAGGGGGCGGGGAGGCGCCGCAGGCGGGUGACGUGGAUCCAGGCUCCUGCACCCACUCAUCAUCUACAGGUCGUCCAGAAAAUUUCUACAUCUGUGAUAGCGAAAUAUGACCCCGUGCCCUUGGCCUUGAAGUCUGAGCAUGGAUGCAUGGCACCAUUUCAUUUGAAGGACAGUCAGACUGAUAACGCUGAGAAGUGGCCCGUUUCAUUAGCGUGAAAACAGAUGUUGAAAAGAAAAUUUGCUCGACAAAGACAGAUGUUCGCGGAGGAGGAGGCAUUACUUAGCGGCGGACGGCAGUUAGGCCUUUUUUUUUUGCCAAAGUAACACCUUAUCUCCAGCUGAUGUGUAAUUUAUGUGCUUAUUCGCUGGGUCUGGGACGGCGGGUUCGCCAAAACAGAUUUUUAAUUUUUCCGGCAGAAUUUAUCACACCGCGAAACACAUCCUGGUCACCUGCGUUAAACACGCGGCGGCCAAUCAGGGCCAAUAAAUCACCGGUUUGCAGAUGUGGAGGCGCGGACGAGCGAGAGCCAGCAAGCGAGGGCCUGCCCUUGCAAACUCCAGUCUGCUUGUCGGAGCCCAGAGACAGGCUGUCUCCUCCGCCAUCUUACCACAGGAAGUGGCUCCGCUGCUCAAUAUGCAAAUGCCCCUUCUGCCUACCAAGAUUUCACCUUGAGUAGAUGCAUCUCUUUCUCUCUCCGUCUCCCCUCUCUCUCUCUCUCUCUCUCUCUCUCUCUCUCUCUCUCUCUCUUUUUCCUAUAACGGCCCACUUAAUGAAUUGGACAAGCUUCCCCCUAUAAGUAGCUUGUCAAAAAAAGAAAGGGGCCAUAGCAUUUAUGACCUUAUAAAUAAGGCAAUGCCAUUUAUUAUCACAUUUCCUAUGCAGAUUGCAGGCGAGGCCCCACUCUUAAUGUUUUGCCUUGGUAGCCCUUUCGGGGCGGAUGUUUUUAGCAUACCUUGGGGCAUUUAUAUUUUCACAUUUAAUUAAUUUAUUAUUCUGCCUAGGUGCUUUUUAAGCGAGCAUGUAAGCAAUUCAAGGUGGUACAGUUUUGCAGGACACAGCUAUGUCAUGAUUAUGCAAUUGCCAAGCAAAUGCCCUUGUGCCAAACCAAUAGUAACAGUGCCAGCAUAUUCCAGUUUUAUUUUGCACAUGGCACAGUUAUUGACAUUGUCCCAUGUUUUCAUUUUCACACUUUGUAUUGCUGCACAAAGAACAUUUACUUCUUAUUUUGUAUUUCCAGAUAAUUUGUGCACUGAUUUUUCAUCAUUCCAGAAAUGAGCCCGUAUCUUGUUUUUUACAGUUCUGCUGGAUGUACUAACCGAUUAAGGUAUAUAAUAUGGGUAAAGAUAGAUAAACAAAAUGUAGGUAAAUCCAAGCUGCACUUAAAUCUAUGGCCAUAUGCUAACUAUCGUGGUUCUGGACCUUGGCUGUUGGGUUGGUCUAUCACUUUCUUCAAACAGCCAGCCUUUGCAUUGGAUAAGGCAUGGAUACUGUGCAAUGGCUAUUUAUCUUAAAUGCCUGAUUAAAAUUUCAUGAUGACAGGAAGGGAAAAGGGCCAGCAUCCGAGGGAGACCGGAGCCAGUGCUUUGUACAUUUUAAAAGCACUGCGCGCUUGUCAUGGGCGCAGUGUUGCUUCCUCCCUGUCGAGUUUCUUAACUGGUGUAGUGUGUCGUCAGGAGAGCCUCUGAUCUUUUUUUCAAAGUGAGCCUGUCUUCUACCUUACCUAUCAAAAUAAUAUCUGGAUUAUGUGUAGUCAGCUACUUAAGACAUGUGCAUGUUGCAGUUUACCGCAGACAAAGCCCAUGCCAUGGUGAUCAAAGUAUUUAAGUGCUUAAAGAAGCCUGUUUUAUAUGAGGAUUGUUUGGGUUGCAUAUAGGAUAUGAGUAUAUAUGAAAUAUUCUGGAGAACAGGAACUUUUGAUCAUUAUUACUUGGCAAAUUGUAUGUAGUGGUACGUAUGUGAAUUUUAUUAUUUUAUAUUAUACAUCUACACAGUAUCAUACCGUUCUACAAAGAAAUGAAACCAGAAUCUGCUGGGAAUUCUAAUGUUAAAUUUAUGUGACUGAAUUGUGUGCUGGUGCAGACUAAAGGCACUAAUUUCUUAAGCUGACUACCCAAAUCGUACUACCAGUGCAUUCUUAAAAGCAGCCCAACAUAUAUAGAAACCUUGUAUGUGUGUGUCCAGGCGGAAGACAGAUGGUGAUGGGCAUCCAUAUGAAAAACGUGCAGCCAGGGUGUCAACAUCCGCCUCUCUCUUACUCUCAGGGCUUAGAAUCUCUGUUUCUGUCCACCAGACAGAAAUAAGUUAUUUAUUUUUUUGGGGGAGGUGAUCUGUCCCCUCUUAGUCACUGCCCCCCCUGCUCUGUGCAUAAUGUGUGAGAAGUAGUCAUCAGCGCUUUAUUACCAGGGUGCACCUCUUGCAUUUGGAGUUCAGCCCGUGCUCUCCAGGGGCUUGGAUCCCAGUGCUCUUCUCGCUGUACCACAAGGCCUCAAUUACACUGCAAGGUACUGUGAAAGAGUGAAGGAGAGAAGGCUGCUAAAAACUAGCUGUUGAAUUAGCGCUGCUCUUCACAGGAAGAAAAUCUAGUACAGAAACAUUACAAUGCAUAUGCAUGCACGGCUCUGCAGCCCUAGAAACAGUCUGUAAGUGACGGUCGGGGUUGUGGAGCGAGCGUCAUUCCUGCAGACCCUGAAAGCAGAGUCAUUAUGGUGACUGCCUCGCUCGCCGCUGCUGGCAGGGGCGGCCGUUCGAGAUUCGCCUGAUGCCGCGGCCUCUUAUCUUGACUGGAACAUUAGAAUGUCUGGGCCUCUCAUUGCACCUCUGCUCCUGAGACGCGCUCCAGCGUUACCCUCUGCCAGAUUCCCUCUGUCCAAUCAGCGUGCUGAAACACACGGCUGUACAGGAAGCAUCGCGUCGUUCAGAGCAAAGGGAUUAGACCCUCCUCCAUUCUGCUUUUAGGCAAACAGAAGAGAGGUUUCACUUUGUGUCUUAUCUACUGCAAAUUAUCCACUUAGAAUUUCAUUAAGAUAAAAUAACUCACAAUAAUAUUAAUCUCAUGAUAGGAUAAGAC